rnacentral:rRNA from 1 species
AACGAACGCUGGCGGCAGGCCUAAAACAUGCAAGUCGAACGAUCUAGCAAUAGAUAGUGGCGCACGGGUGAGUAACACGUGGGAAUAUCCCUUUCACUACGGGACAACGUCGGGAAACUGACGCUAAUACCGUAUAAUGUCUCCGGACCAAAGAUUUAUCGGUGAAAGAUUAGCCCGCGUCUGAUUAGCUAGUUGGUGAGGUAACGGCUCACCUAGGCAACGAUCAGUAGCUGGUCUGAGAGGAUGAUCAGCCACACUGGAACUGAGACACGGUCCAGACUCCUACGGGAGGCAGCAGUUAGGAAUAUUGGACAAUGGGGGCAACCCUGAUCCAGCCAUGCCGCGUGUGUGACGAAGGCCUUAGGGUUGUAAAGCACUUUCGUCUACGAAGAUAAUGACAGUAGUAGAAGAAGAAGCUCCGGCUAAAUUCGUGCCAGCCGCCGCCGUAA